GUGGUGGAUUGGCCAUGUGUCAUGGUCGACUCUGGGCUGGACCAAUUACAGUCGAGGAGGUCGGAUGCACCCUCCCCCUUGCCCAGCUCGGAAAGCAAUUUUCCUGAAACAGAAGAAAAUGGUAUUGAGGUGAAAAGGAACGCGACUCCUGCUGUAUCAGCAAGCUCACCUCAGCCCACUUCAGCUAGAAUGAAAAAAAGACACAAGCUGGAGUUAUUCUGUAUAUAUAUAUAUGCCUGCCUUGAUACUGACAGGGUACAACUGGAGAACUCGGGUGUGUCCGGUGGAUCUAAGGGCCUGAACAGCAGGCCUGAGCCUCCUGAGUCUCUGUGAGAAAAUGCAGUGAUGUAUGAAGUGUUCCUGUGUGCUGGGCUCAGAGCAGCUGCUCUCAGCAUCAGCUGCAUUCACUGUCAUGCACAAAGUUCAGCAGCUCAAAAAAGCUCAUAGAUUUUGAUGAUUUCUCUCCCACAUUUUCCAAAGUGGUGAAUCUCUCUUGGAUGGAAUAGACCACCAACAACAACAUUAAAAAGGUCACCUCCAGCUUCUUUAGGGCAUCACUCAAUGGCUCAUCAAUUGAUUCAUGCAAAGCCUGUUCCCCUGUAGUUGGAGACUGACCGCUACAUCUACAUGCAUGCUGGGAGACUGCAUGAGCGUGCCCACAUGGAUUCAGCAAGGUUGGAGGUGACGUGAGGGGUGGAGGUGUGCUGCUGAGUCCAGCAGGUCACAGUCAGCUCUGAGGAAAGACUUCUACACCCGAGUGCUUCACUCUGAGUCACACUGCACUGGAGGUGGUAGGAGGUGAUCA